GCAGAUUUUUUUUUCUUCUUCAUUGUCUUCAUUCAUCCUUCUCUAACUUCUCUCUACAUUCUCUCUCAUUUUUUUCCUUUACCUUCUUGGUGGCCAAACACUACACCCUUGCUCCACCCUUACACCACCACCUUAACCCACCAUCUCUACCACCGCCGGCCACCUAAUCUCGCCGGAAAAAGGGUCCGGUCAGCCACUCCUUAAAUCCGUCCGAAAAUAGCACAAUCGAAGCACCAACUCUAGAUUUUUCUUAAUCUUUUGAAGAAUCAAAGCAUGGGGGUUAUUUUCUUGAUGGAUUAGAGGCUUGUAAUUGAUUCAUAGACUUUUGUGUGGCUCGCCUCAACUUGGAAGACUAGAAUUUUUUUUGAAGGAUCAAAUGUGGGCAUCUUGUAGUUGAGGUUUUGCUUAGGGUCAUUCUAGGAUGUAAGUUUACUUUUUUUUUUUUAAUGAAGGAGGUUGAUUGUAAAUAGUUGCUCAUGAAGUUGGAUGUAUUGAUGGAUUCGUGAAUAGUAUGUAUUAUUUUUGGGGAGGAAAUGCUUGAGAACUAUCUUAUAGCAUGAUAAUACUUUUUGUCUUUGAAUAGAUCAUCUCAUACAUGUUGGGCAA